rnacentral:rRNA from 1 species
UACGGAGGGGGUUAGCGUUGUUCGGAAUGACUGGGCGUAAAGCGCGCGUAGGCGGACCAUCAAGUCGGGGGUGAAAUCCCGGGGCUCAACCCCGGAAUGGCCUUCGAGACUGGUGGUCUUGAGUUCGAGAGAGGUGAGUGGAAUUCCGAGUGUAGAGGUGAAAUUCGUAGAUAUUCGGAGGAACACCAGUGGCGAAGGCGGCUCACUGGCUCGACACUGACGCUGAGGUGCGAAAGCGUGGGGAGCAAACAGG